AUUGACUAUUUACUUGACAUCAUUGUUUCUCAAAGAAGCAGCAGCUACAUCAUUCUUCUCAUUCUCAAUUCCGAUUUCUUCACAAUCAUCAGCUUCCUCUAACAAGCUCUUCGUUGGAGGAUAAUCAUGGUAUGUGAAUGAAAAAUCCCUCAAAGAUGUUUUCUCUUCGGACACGUCACUCAAGUUGCUGCAGUGAGGAUAGUGCAUGUUAAAGAUAGUGGCAGGGUUGGAGGCUUUGGAUUUGUUAUCUUUUCAAAUGAAGAUGAUGCAAAAUCUGCAAAAGAUGCAAUGGACAGAAAGGCACUGUUAGAUAGACCAUUGAGGAUAAAUGUUGAACUCAAGAGCCCGUGGUGUAUCUGUUGUAGUUCCUCGAUUUUCAGAUAACGAACACUUUACUAGGGUCAGGCACUAAAUUGAAUUUGGUUGACGAAAUUUAUGUAUGUCUUCGAAUCAGAUCAAAUUUGUGUAUUGACUAUCAUGAUUUUGAAUUAGUAGAAAAUGAAAUCUAGCUAGCAUGUUGUUGAAUCAUUUUUUACAUGAUAGUAGUUAUGCGGACAUUUCAUUGUGUGGAUCAAUGAGAAAUUAUCGACACAAAUCGUGCUUGAAACUAUGAUGUUAAGUUUAGAGUAUCAACCUUUAGCUUUUCAGUCCGAGCAAAUAAUUAAUGAUCAUAAAAAAAUAGUUGAAUGUAGUGUGUAUGCUUCAUUAGCCUAAAAAUCACUAGUU